UGGGGAAUAUUGCACAAUGGGCGCAAGCCUGAUGCAGCAACGCCGCGUGAACGAUGAAGGUCUUCGGAUCGUAAAGUUCUGUUGCAGGGGAAGAUAAUGACGGUACCCUGUGAGGAAGCCCCGGCUAACUACGUGCCAGCAGCCGCGGUAAUACGUAGGGGGCUAGCGUUAUCCGGAUUUACUGGGCGUAAAGGGUGCGUAGGUGGUCUUUCAAGUCGGUGGUUAAAGGCUACGGCUCAACCGUAGUUAGCCUCCGAAACUGGAAGACUUGAGUGCAGGAGAGGAAAGUGGAAUUCCCAGUGUAGCGGUGAAAUGCGUAGAUAUUGGGAGGAACACCAGUAGCGAAGGCGGAUUUCUGGACUGCAACUGACACUGGGGCACGAAAGCGUGGGUAGCAAACAGG
rnacentral:rRNA from 1 species